rnacentral:lncRNA from 1 species
GUUCAUUUUUCGCAGCAGGUUUUUCUUACUUUUUACAGCUGCCGAGAUAUUUUCUCAUCGAAGCUACCCGCCUAGCAGGUUAUGGUACCAAUUCGUUUUCUUUUUUCCUCGAUCCUUCCCGCCUCACUGCUCUCCUCUCGAGGCAUGGCAAGGGUUUCGCCUCUCGCCGGUGGCGCCCUCAACCGAGCUCCAGCGGCACUCCUCUUCCAUCUCCGGUGGGGCCCUCCUCCCUCCUUCUUCAGCGCGGCGCCUUGACGGGCAUCCCUGCCGGACCGGCAGCAGACACCCGUAGAUCCACCCCCAACUGUCUGGACUUGGGAAUGGUAGGCUCUUGACUGGCAUGCUUCUUCAUAGUGCUUAGCCCAUGAAAGUUGACACUUUGGGAUACGGGAGUGACUUGACGCUACACAACUACCCUAUUUCCCAUGUAGAAAUGCAAAAAUAAUCACACAAAGUGAUUUGAAGUUCAACAUUCUCUUCAUAAUUUUAUUUUGUU